AAGUCGUAACAAGGUUUCCGUAGGUGAACCUGCGGAAGGAUCAUUAAAAGUACUGCCGCUAUGCGGCGAUUAAUUCUUUUUUUUUUUAUUUUGGUGUUUUAUUCGUUUACUAUUUUGUUUCGGUUUCAUAGAUCGGAAAAAAACGGAACAAGGACGGAUAGAAAACAAGAUGAAAAGGGAAAAAUACAAUUAUCACCCCCACCGACGCACUUAUUGAAAGGACUUUAAAACCAAACCUUUUGACUAAAUUUUUUGACUGACCUUUACUUUAACGAGUAAAAAAAAACAACUUAAUACAACUUUCAACAACGGAUCUCUUGGCUCUC
rnacentral:misc_RNA from 1 species